UACCAGCACCCCGAGUGGUCGGGACGUUUAUUGGGCCUAAAGCAUCCGUAGCCGGUUCUACAAGUCUUCCGUUAAAUCCAACUGCUUAACAGGUGGGCUGCGGAAGAUACUAUAGAGCUAGGAGGCGGGAGAGGCAAGCGGUACUCGAUGGGUAGGGGUAAAAUCCGUUGAUCCAUUGAAGACCACCAGUGGCGAAGGCGGCUCACUGGCUCAUUACUGACGCUCAGGCGCGACAGCGUGGGGAUCAAACAGG
rnacentral:rRNA from 1 species